GAAAGCUAAAUUACGGCAAACUUGAAAACCGGCAACGGGCAACCGUUCGUGAGUUCGAAUCUCACCGCUUCCGCCA
rnacentral:tRNA from 1 species